GCUCAACCCUGAAACUACUGAAGUAGUUUAUCCGCAUUAACUGAUGGAGGGUCUCUCGGAGCCACUGCUUGCAGAGAUCAUCAAGAGGAUUACAAGGACAAGAAUUCUCUUUCCCUUGUGUCAAAACAGCUCUAUAAUGCUGAGGCAGAGGAAAGGGGUACUAUCCAUGUUGGCUGCAGUCUUCACCCUGCAACAGAAAUCUUGUCCUCACUGUGCUUCCGGUUUCCCAACUUGCGGAAAGUAGAGAUCAAUUACUCUGGUUGGACGUCCAAACAAGGGAAACAGUUGGACAACCAAGGGAUUCUUGUGCUUUCGUCACAGUGCCCUUUGCUGACGGAUCUCACCCUAAGCUUCUGCUCCUACGUUAAUGACACAGGCAUUGGUUAUCUAGCAUAUUGCAAGAAGCUCAUGGCCCUCAGGUUGAACUUUGCCCCAGCUAUAAGUUCCAGUGGGCUCCUCUCAGUAGCGGUUGGGUGCAAGAGUUUAUCUGCUUUACAUCUUGUUGACUGCAUGAAAGUAAGCAGUGUGGAGUGGCUGGAGUACCUUAGCAGGGCUGGAUCAGUGGUGGAACUUGUGGUGAAGGAUUGCAAGGGAAUCAGCCAGUAUGACCUCCUAAAGUUUGGUCCAGGAUGGAUGAAGCUUGAAAAGUUUGAGUUUGAGAUCAAUGGCAAUUAUUGGUUAAGAGGGCCUCCCCCUGAUCCUUCUUAUGAUGCUCACUACCUGUACAAAUAUGAUAUCUGUUGUGAAAAUUUGAAGGAAUUGAGGUUGGCGCAUAUUAUAACUGUGCCAGAGAUUGGACUUCGUUUUCUCCUAGGAAAGUGCAAAGCAUUGGUGAAACUUUGCCUAGACUAUGUUAUUGGUUUAGAUGAUAGCGAGAUGAUUGCACUGUUCCAGAACUGCAGCAACCUUAGAAGUCUCUCACUUCGCCUCAUGCCUCUGCGCUGUGGACCGGAUAUGGAUUUCAGGACGCCAUUGACUGAUGAAAGCCUUAAGGCCCUAGGUCUGAGCUGCCCUAUGCUUGAGUUUGUUGAGCUCAUCUUUACAUUUUAUUCCAGUAGUUAUCCAUCAGUAAUAGGCUUCACACAGGAGGGUAUGGUAAUGCUGGUUCAGUCUUGUCCUAUUCGUGUUAUCAUGCUUAAUGGCGCUAACAAUUUUGACGAUGAGGGAAUGAAGGGCUUCUCGUCUGCACAAUUCCUGGAGACACUUGAGCUUGUGGAUUGCGAAAGGAUAACUGAUGCUGGGAUGAGUUUCAUAACAUCUAUGCCAUCGUUGAGCAGUCUUACCCUCCGACGAUGCAAUAAAGUUACUGAUAAUGGAAUGGCCGAGCUGGCACGUUCACAGAAAUUGGAGUCUUUGACCGUUGUGGGCUGCCGUCGGAUCUCUAUGAAAGCUGUGCAAGGGGCUGCUAGAUCAGUUCACUAUUCCAAGGAGUCUGAAAGCUUCGCCAGUCUAAAAGGAAUGAAAAAGCUGGAAACAAAUACGCUGUUCCGCCAAAUAUUUCGAUGAAAGGACCAUCUCGCCAAUUCUGAAGGCUUGGACGGUACAAGACAAAUGGAGUGAUCUUUGGGUGUUAUCUUUGGCUGUUAUGUCCCCUUUCCUAUGUAUCAAUGGAAGUCAAGUCAUGGAAAAGAAACGGUCUUUGGAUUAUCAUUGUUUGUUGUAUAUAUGUUUCUUUCCGUUU